UACGUAGGGUGCAAGCGUUGUCCGGAAUUAUUGGGCGUAAAGAGCUCGUAGGCGGUUUGUCGCGUCGGCUGUGAAAACCCGGGGCUCAACCCCGGGCCUGCAGUCGAUACGGGCAGACUAGAGUGCGGUAGGGGAGACUGGAAUUCCUGGUGUAGCGGUGAAAUGCGCAGAUAUCAGGAGGAACACCGGUGGCGAAGGCGGGUCUCUGGGCCGAUACUGACACUGAGAAGCGAAAGCGUGGGGAGCGAACAGG
rnacentral:rRNA from 1 species